rnacentral:lncRNA from 1 species
AUGGCUGUUCGGUGUUGUAUAAAUACUAAUAGUAGGUACAGAUGUGCCCUAUACAUACCUACUCUUCCCAUAUAUACAUACAAAAAAGGAAUGUUUAACAUAUACAAAAGUAAAAACUUUUUAACAACCAUAUUAAAAAAAUAUUAUUCCACUAAUUUACAAUCAUCGUUAUCUAAUGAUAACUUAAAAAAAAUAAAAGAGUUUCGAAAGGUUACUAAUUUGUCCAUAAGUAUAUGUAAAAAUGUAUUGAGUCAAAAUGAUUAUAACAUUGAAAAAAGCAUAAAUUUUAUUUUCGAAAACUUAAAUCAAAAUUAUGAAAAAAAAAAUAAAAAAUUAACAGAAGGAUAUUACUGUAUAAAAUCAGAAAGUAUGUAUUUAGGAGUAGUAAAAUUAGUAAGUUAUAAUGAUGUUAUUUCUGAAAGUAUAUUUUUUAAACAGUUAAUAAUAAACAUAUGUAAUAAGUUAUUAAGUAAUAGUGAAUUCUAUUUUAAAAGAAAAAAUUUUAAUAUCGAAAAGGAACUUAUUGCAAAUUAUAUACACCUGUUUUAUAAAGAUAAUAAUAAGAUAAGUGUAGAUAAGGAACUAAAAAAUGUGGAGCACAAAGAUCUAUUUAAACAAGUUUAUUUUAACAAAAAGAUUUAUCAAUUAAUUAAGUAUACCUCUUAUAUUUUAAAUGAUUUUAUAUUUUUAAAAAAGUAUUUUCUACUUGCUAUGCAUAAUUUUAAUGAUACUAAUUUAAAAAAUAUAUACGUAAUAAAAAAAAAAUACUAUCACAAAGAAUUAAAAGUAGAUGAUUAUGUUUUAUGUAAAGGUUUUUCAUUCGUAUGUUUAUCAAUAAAAUAUACUGAAAAAGAUAUUAUUGAAAAGAAUAAAAUACUCUUAGAUAAAUUUGCAUCUCUUAUUAGUACAAACAUAUUAAUAUAUAAAUCGACAUAUUGUUCAAUAAAAAAUGAUUUAAACAUUCAAAAUUGUUUUGGGUCACCAUUUUUAAAUUGUGUCUCUAACACUGCCACCACCACCACCAAUAUGCCAGAAAUAAAUGAAGAAAAUAAAAAUAAGGAUAUAACUAAUGAUGAUUAUUUGGAUCAACAAAUUCAAUCGUUUGAUAGGUUAGCUGAGUACUUAGACAAGUCCGAUUUUAAAAAGUUAAAAAAUAUGAAGCGAAAUGGGGUAACCUUCCAUGAAUUCAUAGCUACAUUAGAGCAAGAAUUAAGUAUAAAAAUUUAUUUUAAUAUUAUGUAUUCUAUGCUUAACGAUAAAAUUGUUAUUUUAUAG